rnacentral:rRNA from 1 species
GACGAACGCUGGCGGCGUGCCUAAUACAUGCAAGUUGAGCGAUGAAGAUUGGUGCUUGCACCAAUUUGAAGAGCAGCGAACGGGUGAGUAACGCGUGGGGAAUCUGCCCUUGAGCGGGGGACAACAUUUGGAAACGAAUGCUAAUACCGCAUAACAACUUUAAACAUAAGUUUUAAGUUUGAAAGAUGCAAUUGCAUCACUCAAAGAUGAUCCCGCGUUGUAUUAGCUAGUUGGUGAGGUAAAGGCUCACCAAGGCGAUGAUACAUAGCCGACCUGAGAGGGUGAUCGGCCACAUUGGGACUGAGACACGGCCCAAACUCCUACGGGAGGCAGCAGUAGGGAAUCUUCGGCAAUGGACGAAAGUCUGACCGAGCAACGCCGCGGGAGGGAAGAAGGUUUUCGGAUCGUAAAACUCUGUUGGUAGGGAAGAACGUUGGUGAGAGUGGAAAGCUCAUCAAGUGACGGUAACUACCCAGAAAGGGACGGCUAACUACGUG